GCCAGUGUGGCUCAGUGGAUAGAGCGUCAGCCUGCAGACUGAAGGGUCCUUGGUUCGAUUCCCAUCACGGGCA
rnacentral:tRNA from 1 species